GACUACAUCGGCAUUCACGGGACGUGUGAACUCUUCACAAUACAUAGUUGUAAGGAUCAAAGCACCGCCUGAAAAAGCUCUUUUAACAACAUAUGUGCCUUCAUAAUUAGGAGUCCAUUUUCCCCUAGCAUCAGGUUUAAAAGAUAUAAUAUUCUUGAGCACAAGGUCACUUUCUCUGAACACACGAGGCAUGACCUUUU
rnacentral:lncRNA from 1 species